AUAUGAACUUCUGAGUGACAGCCAGCUCGCUCAAUUGUGAUCAGGUGCUGGAGAGUCAUAUUUGUCCAGUUUGUUGAUGUGGUUAGUGAUGCUGGUAUUAAGAGGAGCUGGUGACACUGGAUGGAUAACGGUCGCAUCAUGGGAUUGCUGCUGAUAACGUUGGCAGUAGGUGUAGAUGAGCAGUGUAAGAAGACAACCGAGAAUGGAGCUGCUUAAUCCUACGGCGAUCAUAUGGAACAUGUUGAACUCUGAAAAGCGGAUUUCAAAAGCAGUAUUAUUACAGUGAAGCUGUAAAUGUGCUGUAAGAUUUUAUUUUUAUCCUUGGCCUGUAAUUUUCUAAGGAAAUGACUGUGUUUCAGUGUGAAGUGUCAUGGUUAUCAAUUGUUAUUCUUGUAAAAGCAAAAACAUUUCAAUUCAAUGUCCUCAGAUAUUGUUUUUUUAUACAGAGUACUUUAAGAUACAUAAAAGAUAAAUGUAGUUACUGUUUUCAUAAGAAAAAUAUUUGUCUUUUAGUGGGUUUCAUGAAUUCUAAAAAAACCAUGUAUGCAAAUAAAUGAAAAAUCAAUUUUCAAGCAAA